GACAACCUGGUUGAUCCUGCCAGUAGUCAUAUGCUUGUCUCAAAGAUUAAGCCAUGCAUGUCUCAGUACAAGCCAAAAUAAGGUGAAACCGCGAAAGGCUCAUUAAAUCAGUUAUGGUUCCUUAGAUCGUACCAACAUUUACUUGGAUAACUGUGGUAAUUCUAGAGCUAAUACAUGCAAACAGAGCUUCGACCGGAGACGGAAGAGGCGCUUUUAUUAGAUCAAAACCAAUCGGCGGCGGGUCCGCUUGCGGGCUCGUCGUCGUUUUCACUGACGAAUCUGAAUAACUUUCUGCUGAUCGCACGGUCUCGCACCGGCGACGCAUCUUUCAAAUGUCUGCCUUAUCAACUGUCGAUGGUAGGUUCUGUGCCUACCAUGGUUGUAACGGGUAACGGGGAAUCAGGGUUCGAUUCCGGAGAGGGAGCCUGAGAAACGGCUACCACAUCCAAGGAAGGCAGCAGGCGCGCAAAUUACCCACUCCCGGCACGGGGAGGUAGUGACGAAAAAUAACGAUACGGGACUCAUCCGAGGCCCCGUAAUCGGAAUGAGAACAAUUUAAAUCCUUUAACGAGGAUCAAUUGGAGGGCAAGUCUGGUGCCAGCAGCCGCGGUAAUUCCAGCUCCAAUAGCGUAUAUUAAAGUUGUUGCGGUUAAAAAGCUCGUAGUCGAAUCUGUGUCCCGCGCCGCCGGUUCGUCGCUCGCGGCGUUUAACUGGCGUGUCCGCGGGACGUCCUGCCGGUGGGCUUAGCCUUUUCAUUAAGGCGGCCCAAUCUUAAUCCCGCCGCGGUGCUCUUCACCGAGUGUCGAGGCGGGCCGGCACGUUUACUUUGAACAAAUUAGAGUGCUUAAAGCAGGCUAAAACUUCGCCUGAAUACUUCGUGCAUGGAAUAAUGGAAUAGGACCUCGGUUCUAUUUUGUUGGUUUUCGGAACCCCGAGGUAAUGAUUAAUAGGAACGGAUGGGGGCAUUCGUAUUGCGACGUUAGAGGUGAAAUUCUUGGAUCGUCGCAAGACGGACAGAAGCGAAAGCAUUUGCCAAAAA
rnacentral:rRNA from 1 species